UACAGAGGGUGCGAGCGUUAAUCGGAAUUACUGGGCGUAAAGCGCACGUAGGCGGCUCUGCAAGUCGGUUGUGAAAUCCCCGGGCUCAACCUGGGAACUGCGACCGAGACUGCAUUGCUAGAGUAUGGGAGAGGAAAGCGGAAUUUCUGGUGUAGCAGUGAAAUGCGUAGAUAUCAGGAAGAACACCCGUGGCGAAGGCGGCUCUCUGGGACGGUACUGACGCUGAGACGCGAAAGCGUGGGGAGCGAACAGG
rnacentral:rRNA from 1 species